AACGCACGAGACCUGCGGACCUGCGGAAGGAUCAUUAUAAAAAUAUGGUUUCAAAACCAUUCUCCUGUGAUUUACGUAUAAUUGUGUAUACUUUGGCAGGCUUUGGGUCGUUAUCGAUUCAACUUCUACGUUCGUACGAAUGUUUGAAGCUGGCCUGCCAGAGGUUUUCAUAAACACACACGUUUAAACUACUGUCUGAAAAUCUCUUUCGAGAGAAUAAAAACAAAAUCAAAUACAACU
rnacentral:misc_RNA from 1 species